ensembl:lncRNA
AUGCCGGCCCAGGCGAUCGGCUCCAUGUCGGGAUGCAGGGACGACGCCACAGGGGGGAUUGACCUCCGCGGCGAGCCGGACCAGGUGGUGCAGGACCUCCGGAAACUUCCCGGGAAACUCCGUCAAGAAGUCGAACGCCCGGUCGACGACGACGCCCUUCCCCGGAGGCGCAGGAAGAGGCAGCAGCAGCAUCUCUGCUAUUUGUUCCGGAGACAAGAGGUGAAGAACCUCCAGCUGAACGGGAGACGACAGAGCAGAGGAGAGAAUACAAUCGUUCACUCGCUUUAUAAAUCCAAUAUGUUGUUAUUAUUAUUAUUAUUAUUAACUCGGGGUUCCUCUUCCGUUGGGUUGAGAAGAGUAUUUCUCCGGACUUACUCCGGAGAACUUUGGGUUGAGCUCGUAGAAGUCGGUGACGACGGCGAACCUGGAGAAGGAGCCAAAGUUCUUCCUCAGCCACUCUGCACUGUGAUUGGCCGAGGACGCACACUGGGGAUCUGGAACGUGUGGACAGAAAUGUUUACGUACGGAAUCAACCACCUUUGUCUUGAAGUACUUGUACUCUACAUGUGUAUUUCAACUUCAUUCAACGUACUAACUUCUACUUUAUCAGUUACUAUAAAAACAAAACGCGUGAUCAAUCAAAAGACACAUACAUAACAUAACAUAAACAAGAGUUCAAAUUGGCGUCACCUCAACAAAUUGAAACAGCAACAUGUUGCUCACAAUAAAUGAGCAUUUAAUACUUGAAAUACUGUACUUAAGUAGAGUUUUGACAGACUUGAACUUACUUAAGCAACUUUUUUUAGUUACUGUGUAAAUAAAGAUUUCUUAAACAAAACUUACUGUAUACUGUAAUCAGCUUAUUAGUAAUGAUGCGUUGCUGCAGAUAAAAGUAACUUAAAGUAAAUAAAGUAGCUUAAAUUGGCUCCACAUUGAAGAACUACAGCAUUAAAAUGUCGCUGACACAUCACUGCGUCACAGACCCAAUUAAUAAAAUAAACUAACGCGUCCCCUUUUGAUUCUUUACAAAAACAUUUUCAGUAAAAGUAUUUAAAAAGUUAUUUCUACUCAGCAGAAGCAGAUACAGUAACAGUAGCAACGUUUGCAUCGUUCAUGCUGUAAGUGACGACGUGUUUUCUCCUCUCUGCCUCCAGACGUCAGCCUGCCUACCCGAGGAGUUGUGAUGCAGCAGGAAGGGGUAGAUGAAGUGUUCAUAGAUGCCACGACUGUACUUUCGAUCAGCAUCCAGGAAACUCAUGUGUUUGCUGAGACCUGCGACACUGCACAUAGCAAGAGUCAAACACAAAAUGACGAUGAUUACUACACCGAACCACGUGUGUGUGUGUGUGUGUGUGUGUGUGUGUGUGUGUGUGUGUGUGCGUGUGUCAAGAAAAAAACAAACCAAAAGCUCAAAUCUGUGAACUCACAUGGUUUGGUAGACGGGGCAGGAGAAGUUCUUGCUGCUGAGGCAGGAGAGCAGGUCCGGGUGCACGUCGGGUAGCAGGGGCAUCAGUUUGGUCUUGAACCAGAGCUCGAUGAAGGCCGGGUCCCGCAGGUGUUCCUCGGUCAGAGACGGAGUUUCCGGCUCGUCGAAGAUCGGCCGAAAGUCGGACGCCAACUUGGUGAAGUUCUACCGGAGGGACAAAGAAGGCACAGAGUUCAGUUUUUAUUUUAAAAUGUUGAAUAAGAUGAGCAAGAAAAUACACACAACUACACACAAGUGAUCAUGUACAGUAGCGUGUACCGGUGUACAUUUUGUGCCGGAGGUUUUGUGAGUCUGUAAUUGCUCAGAAAAGUUAAGGGCAAAGUCUUGGUUUAUGUUCAGCUUUGAAAACAAAAUGGGAAUCUAUCAUUCCCAUAUUGUUUGACACUUAAAGUAUGAGCAAUUGGGAAACACAUAAAAUGCAUCUGUGGGUGAAAAUCUGUGCGCAUUGUACUCCGAUUAUUUAAUCGCUAAUGAUAAUGAAUGAAUAUCUAAUCAUUUAAUCUCGGAAAAUGUGGAUGGAAAUCAAUGAA